CACAUUGAACCUUCGGGGGAUUUGUUGGGCGGCGAGCGGCGGACGGGUGAGUAAUGCCUAGGAAAUUGCCCUGAUGUGGGGGAUAACCAUUGGAAACGAUGGCUAAUACCGCAUGAUGCCUACGGGCCAAAGAGGGGGACCUUCGGGCCUCUCGCGUCAGGAUAUGCCUAGGUGGGAUUAGCUAGUUGGUGAGGUAAGGGCUCACCAAGGCGACGAUCCCUAGCUGGUCUGAGAGGAUGAUCAGCCACACUGGAACUGAGACACGGUCCAGACUCCUACGGGAGGCAGCAGUGGGGAAUAUUGCACAAUGGGCGCAAGCCUGAUGCAGCCAUGCCGCGUGUAUGAAGAAGGCCUUCGGGUUGUAAAGUACUUUCAGUCGUGAGGAAGGUUCAUGCGUUAAUAGCGUAUGGAUUUGACGUUAGCGACAGAAGAAGCACCGGCUAACUCCGUGCCAGCAGCCGCGGUAAUACGGAGGGUGCGAGCGUUAAUCGGAAUUACUGGGCGUAAAGCGCAUGCAGGUGGUUAGUUAAGUCAGAUGUGAAAGCCCGGGGCUCAACCUCGGAAUUGCAUUUGAAACUGGCUGACUAGAGUACUGUAGAGGGGGGUAGAAUUUCAGGUGUAGCGGUGAAAUGCGUAGAGAUCUGAAGGAAUACCGGUGGCGAAGGCGGCCCCCUGGACAGAUACUGACACUCAGAUGCG
rnacentral:rRNA from 1 species